ensembl:lncRNA
GCCAAGUGCCAGUAAGAGGGACUGCUCAAAAGUUCCAUUGUGUUUUGACAAACACCCUGUCUAAAGGUACUGGAAGGAAAGGAAAGGGACAUGAAACUUGGUAAAUAUAUUUAUUCUGAAAAAUCAAGAUUUUGACCUGGCCAAUACGGACUGUGAAGAAUUAGCUUCUAAAUACAAAUGACAAGAAGUUGGUUUGAAUUACUGAAGAUUUACCAGAAAAGGAUUUAAAGGCAAAAUACUUAAAGAGCUGAGAUCAGUGAGGCCAUAAGUAAUUGCAUCUCAAGUUUUCUGAAAACUGAUGUGUUUUAUGUAAUCACAGAUGGAGAGGAUGAUUUGCUCAUGUUCAUUCUUUUGUUAACAUGUUUGCUACUUAAUGGGAAUGAGAACUGACUUCAAUAGAAAAAGCAUUUUUCUGGAAAGCUCUUUCCAGUCGUUGAUGGACAAGUGCGGCAUCAAAUGCUUAUUGCCACUGCACCUUUUAUGAAACAUUUGAAAGACAUAUUAUCAUCUGACAACCUCCUUAAACCAUGCAAGACAUUUUCUGCUACUAAGAGAAUUUCUUUUGAGCACCUCAUGCCUUCAGCCUUGACUUUCCACAGCUCUGAUUGACAGCCAUGUGCCUUCUCCCUCUACGCACCAGAACUGACCAAUGUUUCCAACAUUUUGGUCAUUCUGUAGUAUGAAAAGCUGAAAGUCAAUCCAAUUUCUCUCCUUCACAUGCUAAUGCCAUAAUGUAGAUGAGAAUGUUGAGUGCAUCUCAUGGGGGAAACAAGCAUCAUGUUUUCCUGCUGCAAGGAAGGGUAUUUGCUGAGAGGAAGUAGAUAUGAGAAUACAUGGACAAAUGAACUUCCUCUAUUAUGCAGAAUAAAUCUGCAUGCUUAGAAUAUCUCCAUAAAGAAGUCAUUUUGGAUUUGAAGUAUUGAUAUAUAAUUAGAAAAGUUUUAAUUCCUCAAGCAAGGCUUAUUCCUUUGGGUAGAAGAGUAGUAACUGACAGAAGACAAAAUGGUGUAACUGUAACUGUAUCUAUAGUAGAGACAAUAUCCUUGUAAUUAUAAUGGUGGAAAUACUCUUCUGAUUGAAAUAUUUAGGUGAGUAUAAAGUUGGCUUCUGCUCACACGAUCUGGUUCUUUUUAAACAAGUAAACACUGGAAAGCAAGUGGUAAAUCUGUAAUUGUUUAUAUCACCCCAGCAGCAUUCAAAACUAAGUCAAAGAUAGAAGAGAUGAAGAAUCCAACUACUAUUUCUCUUAGAAACUUUCAGUACAUAGAAAUGAACAAUAAUCUGACGGGCCCACAAUAAGGAAUGGCUAAAAAAAAAAGGGAACAGUCUGGCACUUUAAUCAAUCCUUCUUGUAGACUCAAAUAACCAUAUCAAGGACAAAUUUUUUGCAUAUACACGUAUAUUCAUACAUAUAUAUAUGUAGUGCAUAUGUAUGCAUAUAUCUUUAUGUGUGUGUGUUUACCAAUAUAUUUUUUUCAUUUUUUAUGGUUUACUGUAUAUAUUGUAAGCCUCCCAGGUUACUGUUAUGAUAUACCUUGU